rnacentral:rRNA from 1 species
UUCCGGUUGAUCCCGCCGGGACUGACUGCUAUCGGAUUGAUACUAAGCCAUGCGAGUCAUUGUAGUAAUACAAGGCAGACGGCUCAGUAACGCGUAGUCAACCUACCCUAUGGACGGGAAUAACCUCGGGAAACUGAGAAUAAUGCCCGAUAGAACACUAUACCUGGAAUGGUUUGUGUUCCAAAUGAUUUAUCGCCAUAGGAUGGGACUGCGGCCUAUCAGUUUGUUGGUGAGGUAAUGGCCCACCAAGACUAUUACAGGUACGGGCUCUGAGAGGAGUGGCCCGGAGAUGGGUACUGAGACACGGACCCAGGCCCUAUGGGGCGCAGCAGGCGAGAAAACUUUGCAAUGUGCGAAAGCACGACAAGGUUAAUCCGAGUGGUUUCUGCUAAAGGAACCUUUUGUCGGUCCUAGAAACACCGAUGAAUAAGGGGUGGGCAAGUUCUGGUGUCAGCCGCCGCGGUAAAACCAGCACCUCAAGUUGUCAGGAUGAUUAUUGGGCCUAAAGCAUCCGUAGCCGGCUCUGUUAGUUUUCGGUUAAAUCUGUACGCUUAACGUACAGGCUGCCGGGAAUACUGCAGAGCUAGGGAGUGGGAGAGGUAGACGGUACUCGGUAGGAAGGGGUAAAAUCCUUUGAUCUAUUGAUGACCACCUGUGGCGAAGGCGGUCUACCAGAACACGUCCGACGGUGAGGGAUGAAAGCUGGGGGAGCAAACCGGAUUAGAUACCCGGGUAGUCCCAGCUGUAAACUAUGCAAACUCGGUGAUGCAUUGGCUUGAUGCCAAUGCAGUGCCGCAGGGAAGCCGUUAAGUUUGCCGCCUGGGAAGUACGUACGCAAGUAUGAAACUUAAAGGAAUUGGCGGGGGAGCACCACAAGGGGUGAAGCCUGCGGUUCAAUUGGAUUCAACGCCGGG